UUGGCUGUUGUAUCCUAACGGCGACGUCGGCGUGGGAUGCUCUGACCUGACCAAAACAUUAGUACAAAAAAAAAAGCAUAGCGCUGGCGAUGGAGCAUAAUUUUUACAGACGGUUUUAAUUAAAGAACGCAUAUAGGAAGAAAUCAGCUUGUCCGACUAAAAAACCGCAUGUAAGAAUCAUGUGUUUCUACAAGCGACUAUCCUAAGAAGCCGCAAGUGAAAAUCAUAUUUCUAUGCAGUUUUUUGCCUGUAGAAAUAAUUUGAAAUUAAAUUUUUGAGCUUUUCAAAUGACAUCAUUUGAAAAAACCGUCAAAAUGAAAGUUGUAGAGCUUGAGAAGUUACGAAACUUUGUAGUUGAUAAGUUUUUUUAUUUGAAAUCAUCUUGUCGUCAAAAACUACGUUUGAAUUUCUCAAAUUUGAAAUUCAAAUUUUGUAAAUGACCUUGGAUGGAGAAACUACCAAUAUAAAAGUUGUAGAUCUUGAAAAAUUGUGAAACUUUGUACUUGACAACUUUUGGUAUAAAUUAACUGCACUCUAUUAAAUAAGUUUUAAGUAGGAUUAUCCGCAAGCGCACAGAUUUUACCCGGAGGUUUUAAAUAUCGUAUCCACAUGGAACAGCUGUGAUGAUGACCAAGUAUACAGACUUAACACUACAAUUAGGCUAGAUCAUAUCAAGAAAAAGGAAAUAGCUAAUGCACUCUGGUUCUGAUUCCGAUAAACUUUGUAUAAUAUCGUCUUAUUGGGCAAGUAACCCGAAUAGGAGAAGAAACAGAGUAAUCUCCUACGAGACAAGCCUAUCAGUCCUAUCAACGGGAAGUGGACUACAGUGGAAUCAUCGCAGCUAUAAAGUUACCUACGCAAGCUACCACUAUCCGGCUGAUCAGGGGACAUCCACAGGUAAACCUAGCCUAGGCACCACGCCUACCCUACAAAAUACUACUUCAACCAAGAAAUUACUAAAAUCAAAGCACUAUAUAUGAGUUGUGAACCAAAGAACGAAUAAGAACAAGUUGCUUACUUAAAUCGGUAUGGUAAGUACAACUCAGAAUGUAGCUCCGGGCGAGGGAACUGGAUCCAGACGAAUACAGCCACGAAGAAGCACCGACAUGCCGGAACUCCUCCAGAAUCUCUACUCCUCUACUCAAUCUCUCUAAUAUCUAACCAAGACUAGAUCUAGAAGAACUAGUCUCUCCUAAUUGCUACAUCUAGAUGAACUAGAUCUAGAUGAACUAGAACUAGAUCAACUAGAGGGACCCUAACCCUAAUUAUGUAGAGAAUAUGAAGCACCGGGCUGUAGAAUGCCUCUUGGGGAGCCUUGGAUGUCAUUAUAUAGGCCGAGGUGGAGUAGGGGGCAAGGAAUCGCCACGUCAGCGAUCCGCGUCUUCAUCUUGUGUGCACCAUCGGAUCAAACCGACUUAAAAUCGACGGAGGGAUACUUUGCUUGGCUUCCAAGGAGGCGUGGGAGGAAGACUGCAGAAGGCGCCGGGCAUCGGGCGAAAUAGGGCGCCGCCUGGCCCCACCUUGUUUCUUCUGUGGGUAUCGUUCCUUCGGGUGUCUUCUAGACCCUUUGUAGGUCUUCUAAUGAUGCUUUCCGCCGCGCAUGAGUUUCGUGGUAAAUAUGCACUAGAAUCCCUCUUUUCAGCUCUGUGUGAAAUAAAUCCUGAAAAAUACAGAAUAUAUAAAACUUGUGGAAAUUGUCAGAUAAAACUCUAGACUAAUGUGUUUUCAUGUGUUCCCUUGUGUCUAAAGUUCUAAUAAAUAUUGACGUUAUCGACCGUCAACAACAACUUUUCCAUUGGAAUCCGUUUAGGGCCUCAAACAAUCAAUGUAUGCUGGGGGAACUAAACUUUACUAUAGACACAACUGAGUGUUAGGUGGAGUGGUAUAGGAGGCUACGCGCGAGGGCGAGGUCUCAGGUUAGAAUCGAAAAAAUUUAUUUCCACAGUCCACUAGCACAGGUGGUUCGCCAAACCGUCACAAGAACUAUAUUCUUUUCAACGCACAUGACCUAACAAUUUCUAAACACUAGCAGACCUGGAUUGCUUAGAAUUAACAUGUUGCUGCUAAAAGAAAUAAGUAAAAUCCUAUUUAUAUCCGGAGCUAAUGGUUUGGCAAUAGGGUCUACACCUAGCUAAGAAUGAGUGCUUAGCUAGUUAUGUUUACCUAAUACAAAUCAUAGUUAAGAAUGAGUGCUUAGCUAGUUAUGUUUACCUAAUACAAAUCAUAGUUAGCUGAGGGAAACCGGAUAAAACAUUAACACCGGAAAUUUAUUGCUGCUGACAUGAUUUGUUUUUCUCUAAUAUCUCAUAUAACAGAUAAUCUGUAUCUGCCAAGCAUAUGCUGCACUAAGGGAUGGAAGAGAAAUGAGAUGAUGCAUGAUAUUUAAAGUGGCUUGCUAGGUCGAAAAAAUGUGACGCGUGAAUCAUAAAACUGUGAUGAUUUGCCAUAUGAGUGAGUCUUUAAAAAAUCGUAAAAGAAACUAGUCUGACACAGGUGAGAAAUACAUCCUCAUGCCUAUAGUUUCCGCGCGGC
rnacentral:lncRNA from 1 species